AAAACUUUUCAGCUAGAGUAUGAUAGAGGAAAGCAGAAUUUCUAGUGUAGAGGUGAAAUUCGUAGAUAUUAGAAAGAAUACCAAUUGCGAAGGCAGCUUUCUGGAUCAUUACUGACACUGAGGAACGAAAGCAUGGGUAGCGAAGAGGAUUAGAUACCCUCGUAGUCCAUGCCGUAAACGAUGUGUGUUAGACGUUGGAAAUUUAUUUUCAGUGUCGCAGCGAAAGCGAUAAACACACCGCCUGGGGAGUACGACCGCAAGGUUAAAACUCAAAUGAAUUGACGGGGACCCGCACAAGUAGUGGAGCAUGUGGUUUAAUUCGAAGAUACGCGCAGAACCUUACCAACACUUGACAUGUUCGUCGCGACUCUAAGAGAUUAGAGUUUUCGGUUCGGCCGGACGAAACACAGGUGCUGCAUGGCUGUCGUCAGCUCGUGUCGUGAGAUGUUGGGUUAAGUCCCGCAACGAGCGCAACCCUCACUUUUAGUUGCCAUCAUUAAGUUGGGCACUCUAAAAGAACUGCCAGUGAUAAGCUGGAGGAAGGUGGGGAUGACGUCAAGUCCUCAUGGCCCUUACGUGUUGGGCUACACACGUGCUACAAUGGUAUCUACAACAGGAAGCAAGACUGCGAAGUUAAGCAAAUCCCUAAAAGAUACCUCAGUUCGGAUUGCACUCUGCAACUCGAGUGCAUGAAGCUGGAAUUACUAGUAAUCGUGGAUCAGCGUGCCACGGUGAAUGCGUUCCCGGGUCUUGUACACACCGCCCGUCACACCAUGGGAGUUGGUUCUACCUUAAGGCAAGGUUUAAAACCCUUGACCACGGUAUAGUCAGCGACUGGGGUGAAGUCGUAACAAGGUAGCCGUA
rnacentral:rRNA from 1 species